GAGCAUCCAGAAGGAAAGAAGGUGAAGAGUGAAGCAAGAGGAGAGAAGAAUGUCCCUGUAUUGCUUUCCAGUCUGUCAUGGUCAUGGACUCCAUUAGGUAUGACUGCUUUGACCAACCUGUGGCAGGUGGAGCCAACUCUGUUCUUACACAUUAACUCCAGCUCUGGCCAAGAGAAGGGAGUGGAAGAUGAUCUCCUGGUAUCUUUGAAGAACUGGUUUCUCUUUGCUCCAUGCAUGACCAUCCAGAUGCAUGCAUCUUCCCGAGGCACCCAGCGUUGCCCUCUGCUCCAGUCUUUCUCUGUACGCCCCAUGGAACAUGAGGGAUGUAUUAGUAACAAUGGUACCUUGAUUGCAUUUGAAAGUAAUGAGACAAAAACUGGGAUUGCUAGCUGAAUUUUUCAUCUAUAAAACGCAGGUUGCACUCUGCAGUAUCAUAGAACCAUUGAAUAGCUCAAGUUGGAAGGGUUAAUGAAAGAUCCAUAAGGAUCAUUGAAUCUAGCUACUGGAACACGCACCCCAGUCUGGGUGUUUCUAUACCAUUAUAAGAGUUAUGCCUUGGGUUGCCUUAGCUUCAUCCUGACUGGGUUCCCCUUAAUAAGGGAACUAAAAUAAAGCAGUAAAUGAAUUUCUUCCUGGAAGACUGUAGCAGAAAUGCUAAGUCAUGGCCUGAACCAAUGAUGGAGCACCUGGUGGGAAGGCAGGGCCAGCCCAGGGGAGCUCAGGUGUAUGCAAUGCACCUGAGUGACCAGAAGGGGUGGAGCCAGGAUCCACCCCUUCCCAGCCCUCAUUUAAGGGUUGACAGUGGAGGUGAGGGUAUCUUGCUGGAGAUCCCUGUGUGCCUGAGACCUUCUGAAGGUAAGCAGCUUAUUUCCUUUAUUUCUGCACUCACAGCUGUUGCAUUUGAGCAAAUCCUCACUUGCUGCAGCCUGGGACCUUCCUGCACUGCUGCCCUUGGUGCACUUUCCUUUGCUUUACAAAGGUGGUGUUUUUCAAUAUAUUUCACUUUUCCAGCUCCUGCUAUUUUUUUCUCACAGGCUACAGGACCCCCUGUUAGCGUCAUCGCUCCUGGUCUCUUGGAAGUGGCCUUACAGAGCACAAGCUCUUUCUGAUUUCCUCGGGAGUAGUUUGACUGAUUCUGAUAUUUUUGAGUUGCUCAGGACCCUAAAAAUCCCAGAUCCUUAAAUCCAGGUAAGAAAUCAUUGCAUCUGGCUCUUGCUUAUUUCCUGUCUUUGUGGUCUGGGUGUGCCUCCUUCUCCCAGGCACAUAUGUGUGUGCAUACACACAGUCAACAUGAGGAGGGAAAGAAUGAGGUUUAUCUGCCUCUCUGGGAAUCACAUCUGGGAAAAGCAGAAUUGGUCUCUUCCUACAGCACUGAGGAACAAAUUUGGGGUGUUCUCCAUGACCCUUCUCCGUACAUCUCAGUCUGGGCUGCAGACCCAGCUGCUGUGUGGGGGCUGUCCCUCCUUCCUCCCAGCUCAGUGAUAGAAUUCUAGUGAGUGUAGAGAGGCAAAUGGCAGAACACUUGCAAAUAUUUCAAGAGUUUUUGCUUAUCAGUGUUCAGUGCUCUGGUUAGUCAUUAUUUCAUAGCAGGAGAAAUAGAGCCUCAGUGUUCCUCAAGUGAUACCCAUGAGGUGACAAUCACGGGGGCUCUGCUGAACUUCCUGAUAUUAAGGCAGCUAAAGUGCUGUUCAGAUGUAAUCCAAUCAGCAAGGCGCGACUCCAGGCAAGCUGGCAAACUGAGCUGAUGAGCACCUAGCGCACAGCACCUACUCAAAGUGCUGGGAUAAGGGUCAAGGUGCUUCCUGACAUGUGAUUAUCAGUGGUCACUGGUGAUACAGAGGAGACUGGUAAGAAGGGGAGGGAGAUGAUAAGAAUGGGCUCAUGGUGUCCCUGGGGCAGACAAAAGAAGAGUCAGAAAGAAACACUUCUAUUUUCUGGAGCAAAUAGAUUAAUUAGUGAGAAGAGUUGGUUUUGCAGAGCAGGCUUUCUUCACAAAUGGGCCUGAAUAGUACCAUUAUAGAGAUGAGGUCUCCACAGGCUUGUAUUUCUUCUCUUGGGAAACCAUGUUUUGUUAGGUGGUGAGGGAAGAGUGAUCCGAUCUCCUUAGUCCUACCAGUAAAUCUAUCCCCAGUAAAAACAAAUCUUAGUAAAUAGAAAAGCCUUUUUUUGUUUGUUUGGAUGCUUCUCUGUGUGAUAACACUUGCCUUGUUUAAAAGGUGUCCGUCCAACAACACAGCAAUAGCUCCUUAAAGGCAAAAAACAUUUACAGGAUAAAUUUCUUCUGAUGAAGGAAAGUGGGGGUCUCUGUCAUCUUAUACCAUUCUUACACACUUCAUAUUUAGUGCCCAUUUUACAUUUAAAAAAACAGCUUAUGUCAUAGAUUAGCAAGUAGCUUGAAUGUAGCAGCUAUGAUCUUCUAACUUUUUAAGGCUCCCACUUCAGGAACAUUUCUUACAGGGUAGGACCAUUGGCCACCAGAGUGCUGUGAAGAGUGGGUACCAGGACUGGAGGAUGAAAGGCUGUGGUAGAAGAUAUGGCUAAGCAGAGAAUCCAAGCUGGCAUUAUUGGUGAAGAAGGAAACUGGGAUAGAGUAAGGAAGAAUGGCAUGAAAAAAGCAAGCACAUGGGCAACUGAAAGGAGAGACUAACAGGUAUUACCUUGCUGUAGAAUGGAAGAAAAAGGAGUGUAAAAGAUGUCUGGAAGAAAGACACAAGGUGCUGAGAGAAGUGAUUUGUUGCUUGGGCUUGGACUGGAUGACAGAUGGGAGGCUGCAGUGAGGAAUGAGACACAGAAGGGAGAAGGGGGCAGACAGCAGAAUGAGCUGGACCUUGGGUGGGCAGCAGAGGGGAGGUGACAGGCGGCAUGGUUUGGGGGAGGCUGGCUGCCAGCCCUCCUGGGUGAUGGAGUGGCAUUGUCAGUAGUGGGAUUGUCAGGGAUGGCAGGUGACAAGGUGUGGGCAAUAUGGAGCAGAAAACGUUCAUCCCUCACCCCUGAUGUGGGAGGGGUGAGCUCAGUUUCUCGCAGUACAGUUCCUCAAAAUCCAGGGCCAUCUGGACACAGUCCUGUCCCUCGCACAAGCUGUCACCCAGGAAUUGCUCAGGCAGCCGUGACUAGCUGGUGCAUCUGGGAGUAUCUGUGCUCAUGGCCAGGAGGGCAGAUGGCACCAGAUUCACUACAGUGGCUUUGCAGCACCUGGUACCCCUGUUUUGGUGGGGGGUCCUGUGGAGCCAGGUGAGCUUUGCCUUGGGCACUGUGGUGUCACUUGAUUUGGUGGUACAGGGCUGCUCUGCCACAUUGACCCAGCAGUCUCCCUGACGCCUUCAAUAUCAUUGUGCAAAUAUUUGGGGAUAGGUGUGCUCCUUUCCAGCUGGCCUUCUAGUGUUGGGCAUUGCUGAAGAGCAGCCUGAGGUGGGUGAUGAAGGAGGACAGUGGACCUCAGCUGACAUCAUCUCAGCAAUGUGUUUGCAGUGACUGAUGUCCUCAGCCCGCUCCCCUUGGUGUUUUGUGUUGCUCAAGAAAUGGGUAUGAAGAAGAGUCACUGAAAACACUGGUCACUCUGCUUGCAUACACCUACACAUCAGGAACUGUUUUCUUCAAGAAAUAUUUUAUUAGCACUUUGCCAUCCUAGUAACAGUACUAGCUUUUCAUAGCAGCUGUGAUAUGGAAUUUGUCAAAAAAUAAAAUGCUUUUGGGCAAGAAAGUGAUGUUGUGU
rnacentral:lncRNA from 1 species